rnacentral:rRNA from 1 species
AGCGAACGCUGGCGGCAGGCCUAACACAUGCAAGUCGAACGGACCCUUCGGGGUUAGUGGCGGACGGGUGAGUAACACGUGGGAACGUGCCUUUAGGUCCGGAAUAGCUCCUGGAAACGGGUGGUAAUGCCGAAUGUGCCCUUCGGGGGAAAGAUUUAUCGCCUUUAGAGCGGCCCGCGUCUGAUUAGCUAGUUGGUGAGGUAAUGGCUCACCAAGGCGACGAUCAGUAGCUGGUCUGAGAGGAUGACCAGCCACAUUGGGACUGAGACACGGCCCAAACUCCUACGGGAGGCAGCAGUGGGGAAUCUUGCGCAAUGGGCGAAAGCCUGACGCAGCCAUGCCGCGUGAAUGAUGAAGGUCUUAGGAUUGUAAAAUUCUUUCACCGGGGACGAUAAUGACGGUACCCGGAGAAGAAGCCCCGGCUAACUUCGUGCCAGCCGCCGCAGUAAUAC